rnacentral:rRNA from 1 species
UACAGAGGUCUCAAGCGUUGUUCGGAUUCAUUGGGCGUAAAGGGUGCGUAGGUGGCGGGGUAAGUCAGGUGUGAAAUCUCGGAGCUCAACUCCGAAACUGCACUUGAUACUGCCUUGCUCGAGUACUGGAGAGGAGAUUGGAAUUUACGGUGUAGCAGUGAAAUGCGUAGAUAUCGUAAGGAAGACCAGUGGCGAAGGCGAAUCUCUGGACAGUUACUGACACUGAGGCACGAAGGCCAGGGGAGCAAACGGGG